rnacentral:rRNA from 1 species
UACGUAGGCAGCAAGCGUUGUUCGGAGUUACUGGGCGUAAAGGGUGCGUAGGCGGUUGUUUAAGUUUGGUGUGAAAUCUCCCGGCUCAACUGGGAGGGUGCGCCGAAUACUGAAUGACUAGAGUGCGGGAGAGGAGAGUGGAAUUCCUGGUGUAGCGGUGAAAUGCGUAGAUAUCAGGAGGAACACCGGUGGCGAAGGCGGUGGUCUGGGCCGGCACUGACGCUGAGGAGCGAAAGCGUGGGUAGCAAACAGG